GAUGAACGCUGGCGGCGUGCCUAAUACAUGCAAGUCGAGCGAACAGAUGAGGAGCUUGCUCCUCUGACGUUAGCGGCGGACGGGUGAGUAACACGUGGAUAACCUACCUAUAAGACUGGGAUAACUUCGGGAAACCGGAGCUAAUACCGGAUAAUAUAUUGAACCGCAUGGUUCAAUAGUGAAAGACGGUUUUGCUGUCACUUAUAGAUGGAUCCGCGCCGCAUUAGCUAGUUGGUAAGGUAACGGCUUACCAAGGCAACGAUGCGUAGCCGACCUGAGAGGGUGAUCGGCCACACUGGAACUGAGACACGGUCCAGACUCCUACGGGAGGCAGCAGUAGGGAAUCUUCCGCAAAGGGCGAAAGCCUGACGGAGCAACGCCGCGUGAGUGAUGAAGGUCUUCGGAUCGUAAAACUCUGUUAUUAGGGAAGAACAAAUGUGUAAGUAACUAUGCACGUCUUGACGGUACCUAAUCAGAAAGCCGCGGCUAACUACGUG
rnacentral:rRNA from 1 species